rnacentral:rRNA from 1 species
AUUGAACGCUGGCGGCAGGCCUAACACAUGCAAGUCGAACGAGUGGCGGACGGGUGAGUAAUGUCUGGGAAACUGCCUGAUGGAGGGGGAUAACUACUGGAAACGGUAGCUAAUACCGCAUACCAUCGGAUGUGCCCAGAUGGGAUUAGCUAGUAGGUGGGGUAAAGGCUCACCUAGGCGACGAUCCCUAGCUGGUCUGAGAGGAUGACCAGCCACACUGUAACUGAGACACGGUCCAGACUCCUACGGGAGGCAGCAGUGGGGAAUAGUGCACAAUGGGCGCAAUCCUGAUCCAGCAAUGCCGCGUGUAUGAAGAAGGCCUUCGGGUUGUAAAGUACUGUCAGCGGGGAGGCGUUACCCAAAGAAGAAGCACCGGCUAACUCCGUGCCAGCAGCCGCGGUAAUAC